rnacentral:rRNA from 1 species
GACGUAGGGCGCAAGCGUUGUCCGGAUUUAUUGGGCGUAAAGAGCUCGUAGGCGGUUCGGCAAGUCACGUGUGAAAUCUCCACGCUUAACGUGGAGGCGCCACGUGAAACUGCCGUGACUCGAGUCCGGUAGGGGAGUGUGGAAUUCCCGGUGUAGCGGUGAAAUGCGCAGAUAUCGGGAGGAACACCAGUAGCGAAGGCGGCACUCUGGGCCGGUACUGACGCUGAGGAGCGAAAGCGUGGGGAGCGAACAGG